rnacentral:rRNA from 1 species
UACGUAGGGCGCAAGCGUUGUCCGGAAUUAUUGGGCGUAAAGAGCUCGUAGGCGGUUUGUCGCGUCUGUCGUGAAAGCCCACGGCUUAACCGUGGGUCUGCGGUGGAUACGGGCAGACUAGAGGCAGGUAGGGGAGAAUGGAAUUCCCGGUGUAGCGGUGAAAUGCGCAGAUAUCAGGAGGAACACCGGUGGCGAAGGCGGGUCUCUGGGCAGUAACUGACGCUGAGGAGCGAAAGCGUGGGGAGCGAACAGG